GCCCGGUUAGCUCAUUUGGUAGAGCAUGAGACUCUUAAUCUCAGGGUCGUGGGUUUGAGCCCCACGCUGGGCG
rnacentral:tRNA from 2 species